rnacentral:rRNA from 1 species
GGCUCAGGAUAAACGCUGGCGGCGCACAUAAGACAUGACAAGUCGAACGAACUUAAUUCAUUCUUUAGAUUGAAAGCGGUUAGUGGCGGACUGGUGAGUAACAACGUAAGACAACCUGCCUAUCAGGAAGGGGAAUAACAAUGAAGAAAUCAUUGACUAAUACCGCAUAAGCUAGUAGUAUCGCAUGAUACAGCUAGAAAAGGAGCAAUCCGCUGAUAGAUGGGCUUGCGUCUGAUUAGCUAGUUGGUGGGGUAACGGCCUACCAAGGCGACGAUCAGUAGCCGAGCUGAGAGGCUCUACGGCCACAUUGGGACUGAGAUACGGCCCAGACUCCUACGGGAGGCAGCAGUCGGGUAAUUUUGCGCAAUGGAGGAAAACCUCUGACGCAGUGACGCCGCGUAUAGGAAGUAAGGUUUCGGAUUGUAAACUAUUGUCGUUAGGGAAGAAAUUUGACAGUACCUAAGGAGGAAGCUCCGGCUAACUAUGUGCCAGCCGCUGC